rnacentral:rRNA from 1 species
GAUAAACGCUGGCGGCGCACAUAAGACAUGCAAGUCGAACGGAAGUCGUUGUAAUGAUAUAGACAUGGACAGAGAACUUGUUCGAAGAAAGUGAAAAUUGACUUACAACAAUGGCUUUAGUGGCGGACUGGUGAGUAACACGUAAGCAACCUGCCUAUCAGAGGGGAACAACAGUUAGAAAUGACUGCUAAUACCGCAUAUGCCUAAGUAACACAUGUUACAAUAGGGAAAGGAGUAAUCCGCUGAUAGAUGGGCUUGCGUCUGAUUAGAUAGUUGGUGGGGUAACGGCCUACCAAGUCGACGAUCAGUAGCCGGACUGAGAGGUUGAACGGCCACAUUGGGACUGAGAUACGGCCCAGACUCCUACGGGAGGCAGCAGUCGGGAAUAUUGCGCAAUGGAGGGAACUCUGACGCAGUGACGCCGCGUGCAGGAAGAAGGUUUUCGGAUUGUAAACUGCUUUAGACAGGGAAGAAAAAAGACAGU